rnacentral:tRNA from 1 species
UGUAGCUUAGUGGUAGAGUACUUGUCUAGCAUGCAUGAGGCUCUGGCUUCAAUCACCAGCA